GCCCUUGGGGGAAGGGUGGGUGGUAUUAACAUCUAAAGCUUAAGUGACCGGCUCAGAAAGAUCCAACGGGUAGCUUAAGACAGCAAAUCCAGAACCGCUCCUAACCCAUAACACCUGAGCCACCCAAAAAGCCUCAGGUGAACUAAUUUAACAUCAUUACCCCCUGGGGUGUGGGGUAGGGGUUGGUGGCGGGUGGCUGGGUCUGGAGGCGCUGUCACCAUUUAGGCUGAAAGCAGACCCCACCGUCUGGCCUCCUUGCCAGAAAGCAAAGCUCUUGCCAGGCCAGCCCUGAGCUGGGGGGCCCCAGCAAUCUGCAAGGCUUUAUCUAUUCAGUAAAGCGACGCUCUUUAAUCCAGUCUUGCCCCCUGGAAGCCGGUGGGAACCAACAAAGAUGAGGAAAAGUCACCCCGCGCCCUGUCCCGCACGUUGCACUGUAUACAUAUUUAAAAUAGCCUGCAAAGUUUCAGGACCGGAACUUGAGCUCCCUCUAGGAGAUACUAGCCCGAGCGCGGAUUUAAUUCUCCAACCACCACAACAAAGAACAGAGUUUGAGAGCGCACAAAGGCAGGCGAAGGGGGUAGAAGAGAGCCGGACCGCCACACAAAGGCCGGGAAGCCCUCGGCUCGCACGCUCCUGGCCCUCCACUCGCUUCCAGACCCUUUUUUAAUCCCCAAACACUGAAAAUGGGUCGUUUCAAACUGUGCGCUGUGCAGAGCACCGCAGGACGCCAGGAUGCUUUCUGGGCCGUCCCAGAGACGGGGAAACUUGGCUGAGGACCUGGACCUGAGCGGUGUCGGCUCAUCCGCCCAUCCCGGGACUCACCGUUACACCACUGGAAUGGGUGCAUCAAUGAAGUCAAGGUCGGCUUCCCGGAGCGAACGGAGACGGGGUGUUGAGACCUGGCGGGGGCUGUGCUCGGCGAUUGCCGGGCUGGAAGAUGCAACUCCCCGGAGGAGUCAAGGGCUGCAGAGAGGCCGGUUUGCAGAGCAACAAAGACGGCAGAGGAGGAAACAAACAAAAGUCUUUCUGAGCGGAGCCCUGCGGAGGGCAAUCGCGGAGGGCCCCGGACCGGGUGGGCAGCGGAGUGGGCCGGGAAGUCCGGCCGAGGAGACAGCAGCCGGGGCACGAAGCCGGGCUGGGGGGUCCCACCGCGCCUAGCAGUGCGCGCUGGGAUUCCGAAAACUGACACCGCGAGGCGCACACCCCCUCCCUUUGACUGCCCCCUCCCGGGAGCCCGCCCCCUGCUCGUCACCUGCCCUCCGGCCAAUGGGAGCCUUUCUCCUGCCCCCGUGUAUUAUUUACAGGCGGUUCCCCCCUCUGGAAAGGGGAGCCUUUUUGCUGGAUCCGUGCCUGUCUCGAAUUUCUAUAGCUGUGUGGCAGCCAGUCCUAAAGCGUUGUGCGUGGCAACCAACUAGCGCAUUCCCAGACCCACUGCGAAAGGAGGGAACUCAAGACAAGAAGGCAAAGCAGACGAAACUCAAAACCGGAUCUUCAAAGGCUAUUGUUCUCACCUCCCUUCAGGACAGCGCCUUCUCCGCCAAACAGGGAUUUAAGGCCUCAAGCUGGAGAUCAUCACUUGCCAGGGUUCCAGUCUCCCAGAUUGUGACUGAAAUCCAGAAGCUGGUUUUGUCAAUGCAGAGGUCUUGUGUCGGUGUUGAACGAACAGCGAAAGACAGCCUCAGCUCUCUGUGCAGUAUUACUUAUUUUGCAUGACAUUCCAUCGUUUAUUUCAUUCUUUUAAUAGAAAUUUAUUUAGUCCCGACUGGCCUCCAACUCAGAGAAAUCUGCCCUCCUCUGCUUCCUGAUUGCUUGGAUUACAGGCGUAUGCUACCACA